rnacentral:rRNA from 1 species
GACGAACGCUGGCGGCGUGCCUAACACAUGCAAGUCGAACGGAAAGGCCCUGCUUUUGUGGGGUGCUCGAGUGGCGAAGGGGUGAGUAACACGUGAGUAACCUGCCCUUGACUGUGGGAUAACUUCAGGAAACUGGGGCUAAUACCGGAGAGGAGCUCCUGCUGCAUGGGGGGGGUUGGAAAGUUUCGGCGGUGGGGGAUGGAGUCGCGGCUUAUCAGCUUGUUGGUGGAGUAGUGGCUUACGAGGGCUUCGAAGGGUAGCCGGCCUGGGAGGGUGACCGGCCUCCAUAGGACUGAGGUACGGACCAGACUGCUACGGGAGGCAGCAGGGGGGAGUAUUGCACAGUGGCCCGAAGCCUGAUGCGACAGCGCCGCGUUCGGAAUGACGGCCUUCGGGUUGUAAACCGCUGUCGCCUGUGACGAAGCGUGAGUGACGGUAAUGGGUAAAGAAGCACCGGCUAACUACGUG